rnacentral:lncRNA from 1 species
GAAAUGAUCCUUUCCAGGUAACAGCCGAGCAUAGGGGACUGCGGGACAUCUCCGCCUCUUCCUUGGCUCUGGGCCUUCGAUGUAAGGCGUUAGAGGACAAUCUUUGUUGGCUGGAUUUCUGUUCUUCCCCUAGAGAUAUCUGGUUCUUUGGAGGCCACUUGGGCAAUUGGGUUAACAAUCACUUACCUGAUACCUGCUCCCAAAACGAAUCCUAUUGAUGAAGGAUCUUCUUUCUGAGCAGUAAACCUGUGUUUAAUUAACCUUAUGCAAAUGAGCUUAAUUGCUUAUCAGUGGCUGUUGUCCAGAAGCACCUAGGGAUUCCUUCCCUCAGACAUUUUCAGCACCUAGAUGAACCGCAAAGUUGGAAGCCUUUCAUCUACACAUGUGUUGUGUGCCUGUGGAGCCCUGGGCCCUGUGUUGAAGAUUGCAAGGAAAAGCAAGGUGUGACCCCUGCUGUGGACUUACUUUCAGUCUUAGGGCAACAGACACUUACAACCAAGAAUAACAAAGGGAGCCGUCGGAACAUCCUGGGACUCCAAGGCUCCGACCCCCAGCGCAAAGGACUCUAGGGACUGGCUUCCUGGCUGUACCGCGCAGCGGGACUCCUCGUCUGCACAGCUUCGGGGAGGCCCAGAGCACGCCCCUACUAGCCGGCUCCGUCCAAGGCCCACCAAGACAACCCGCCACGAAACUUCCCGGCCCCCUCAGCCCAGGGCUCCCGGUCCCGAGCUGCUGGCCGGUGGCGCGGGGCCUGCCGCCCGCCUUCUACGAGCCGCAUGGACGGAGGCCUGCGUGUUAUUUCAUAGAGGCCGAAACGGAGACCCAGGAAAGAUAAAAGAAGGGCUCAACCCGGGACCCCCACUAGCCAGCCGAGGGCGAGAAAUGAAAGCCAAGGCUGAAUGAUUCCCUGUGCCGUGAGCUCUCUCCCACUCCAUCCACACUCUCCUCCCUGCAAAGAGUGUUCUGCAAUUUGCAGCGUCGUCUGUAGCCCAAGCAGGAGGUGCGCUGUGGAAACUGAGGCCGCUGGGAGGCCUUGCCAACCGUGACCCGGACGUCGGACGCCCCAGCCGAGGCCCGGCGAGUCCUUAGCCCCUCUCGAACUAAAAUGGACCGAACAGAAAAUGCGGACGGGGCUCCCUCCUUUCGGGUAGCGGCGGGGCAGACGGGAGGCCGUCUGUGACCGAGCUCUCCAAGUCCCGCCUUCCUUUCCAAGCCUGCCCGGCGGAGACCACCUUACUCCCUGAGACCUCCGCCCUGCCGCAGCGCUCCCAGGCCAGGCCAGGCCGGCGGUGCCCGCGCCAUCUAAAGGGACAAUUCUGGUUGAACCUGGGAUUCCCGGCAGGGCGCCCUGUCUGUGAGCGCCCCGGAGGUAACUUCCCCGGUGUGGCAGGCGUGGAAAUGGGCAUGGAUGAACCCUCGGCGCCUUCGAGCUCUUGAGGAAAGAGCCCGGGACCGCUGCGCUAAGGACCGUGACGUAAUGCCCCUCCUCCAUUCCGGGCCCAAGGGAGGGUCCUAAACGCGGAGAGGGAGUGCCCUGUGGGGGAAAACUGAGUGUGUCUGGAGGGCACAGUGGAGAGGUUGAGUGCUCGCUGCUGCCCACUUGAGCAGGCCCGAUUCUGACCCUGGGAGCCCCAGAACCCGCGGGGCGGCUCCCACCCCCACCUGUUGCACGGUGUUCCGCCGCCCCGCUCCGCCGGUGCACUCCCACCUCCGUAGCCCCAGAAGUGACAUCUUUUAUUAUUAUUAUUAUUAUUAUUAAAAACGAAAGUCACGGGUACAGGGUGGUCUCCCCAAACAGGCUCCAGGUGGUUGCCAUCUCGUGAGUCAGUUGUCGCCCUUUUAAAGUGCUGUUACAUCAAGAGGUUACAACAAAAAAUAGCCAAAGCAAAAUCCAAAGGGGAAUGCAAAACGGGACUGGAAGUGGGUCCAGGAGAAGGAAGCAAAAAUAACUUACAGCAUAAAUAAAUUAAAGUGAACCUAAUACUGAA